rnacentral:rRNA from 1 species
GACGAAGGAUUCAAGCGUUGUCCGGAUUUACUGGGUUUAAAGGGUGCGUAGGCGGAACUUUAAGUCAGUGGUGAAAGCUCUCGGCUCAACCGAGAAACUGCCAUUGAAACUGAUUUUCUUGAAUACAGUUGAGGUAGAUGGAAUAUAACAUGUAGCGGUGAAAUGCUUAGAUAUGUUAUAGAACACCGAUUGCGAAGGCAGUCUGCUAAGCUGUUAUUGACGCUGAGGCACGAAAGCGUGGGGAGCAAACAGG